GACCCAAACUUGGAGGAGGACAAGUGAAUGCAUCUCAUAAAGGAGAAGGCUGGGAAGCCAAGGCGGAGAAGGACAUGUGAGACUGGGCAGGCUUCAGCUGUCAUCUGUGGGAAGUGGCUUUUGGUUGACCAGCGGUACUUCCCAGUGUCAGCACGUGUGUUGUGUCGGCAGCUCAGACCUUGCGCUGAGGGGCCCCGGCAGGGAGGCAGGGAGGCAGGGAGGCAGGGAGGCUUCCUAGUGCUAACUCAACUUGUUUAAACCAUUAUACUUUAUCUAAAUAAUUGCAUUGAAUACUUCGAUACAAGUAAGAACACGCAGGAGAGAAGUAGGAGAGGCUGCCGUGGAAGAAGAAGAAUAUGCAGGAGAGAGAAGGAGAGCUGCCAUGUGCUAAAGGGCCAAGAGAACGUGGCCCAGAGGGCUGCUCAGUUGGGUCAAGAGCAGCCAAGAUGGAACAUAGAAACUAGUGCCUUGCUGAAGUGCCCGCUCUGAAUGAAGAAGAACUGGGUCCUGCAGUCUGUCCACAGGAAGAAGACUGUCUGUGAGCACAGUCUCCAUGUUCACUGUCUCAUGCCGUCCCUGAUAUCAUGGAGGAAAUGAAUGGUCAUUUAAGAAUCCUCAUUGGCUAAAGAGCUGGUGGUUUAAAUGAAUGAAUCUAAUGCAAACUGUGAAGGGCUGGUCCUGGUAUUAAGAAGAUGGACGAUUCUGUGAAGGGAAUGUGCUAAGACUUGUUUGUUGAAAAUGGAAUUAUUAAUGGCUUGU
rnacentral:lncRNA from 1 species